GCUUGCUACCUGACCUAGCGGCGGACGGGUGAGUAAUGCUUAGGAAUCUGCCUAUUAGUGGGGGACAACAUUCCGAAAGGAAUGCUAAUACCGCAUACGCCCUACGGGGGAAAGCAGGGGAUCUUCGGACCUUGCGCUAAUAGAUGAGCCUAAGUCAGAUUAGCUAGUUGGUGGGGUAAAGGCCUACCAAGGCGACGAUCUGUAGCGGGUCUGAGAGGAUGAUCCGCCACACUGGGACUGAGACACGGCCCAGACUCCUACGGGAGGCAGCAGUGGGGAAUAUUGGACAAUGGGCGAAAGCCUGAUCCAGCCAUGCCGCGUGUGUGAAGAAGGCCUUUUGGUUGUAAAGCACUUUAAGCGAGGAGGAGGCUACUUGGAUUAAUACUCUAGGAUAGUGGACGUUACUCGCAGAAUAAGCACCGGCUAACUCUGUGCCAGCAGCCGCGGUAAUACAGAGGGUGCGAGCGUUAAUCGGAUUUACUGGGCGUAAAGCGUGCGUAGGCGGCUUUUUAAGUCGGAUGUGAAAUCCCUGAGCUUAACUUAGGAAUUGCAUUCGAUACUGGGAAGCUAGAGUAUGGGAGAGGAUGGUAGAAUUCCAGGUGUAGCGGUGAAAUGCGUAGAGAUCUGGAGGAAUACCGAUGGCGAAGGCAGCCAUCUGGCCUAAUACUGACGCUGAGGUACGAAAGCAUGGGGAGCAAACAGGAUUAGAUACCCUGGUAGUCCAUGCCGUAAACGAUGUCUACUAGCCGUUGGGGCCUUUGAGGCUUUAGUGGCGCAGCUAACGCGAUAAGUAGACCGCCUGGGGAGUACGGUCGCAAGACUAAAACUCAAAUGAAUUGACGGGGGCCCGCACAAGCGGUGGAGCAUGUGGUUUAAUUCGAUGCAACGCGAAGAACCUUACCUGGUCUUGACAUAGUAAGAACUUUCCAGAGAUGGAUUGGUGCCUUCGGGAACUUACAUACAGGUGCUGCAUGGCUGUCGUCAGCUCGUGUCGUGAGAUGUUGGGUUAAGUCCCGCAACGAGCGCAACCCUUUUCCUUAUUUGCCAGCGGGUUAAGCCGGGAACUUUAAGGAUACUGCCAGUGACAAACUGGAGGAAGGCGGGGACGACGUCAAGUCAUCAUGGCCCUUACGACCAGGGCUACACGCGUGCUACAAUGGUCGGUACAAAGGGUUGCUACCUAGCGAUAGGAUGCUAAUCUCAAAAAGCCGAUCGUAGUCCGGAUUGGAGUCUGCAACUCGACUCCAUGAAGUCG
rnacentral:rRNA from 1 species